GGGGGGUGCUAUAAUGCAAGUCGAGCGAACAGACGAGGAGCUUGCUCCUCUGACGUUAGCGGCGGACGGGUGAGUAACACGUGGAUAACCUACCUAUAAGACUGGGAUAACUUCGGGAAACCGGAGCUAAUACCGGAUAAUAUAUUGAACCGCAUGGUUCAAUAGUGAAAGACGGUUUUGCUGUCACUUAUAGAUGGAUCCGCGCCGCAUUAGCUAGUUGGUAAGGUAACGGCUUACCAAGGCAACGAUGCGUAGCCGACCUGAGAGGGUGAUCGGCCACACUGGAACUGAGACACGGUCCAGACUCCUACGGGAGGCAGCAGUAGGGAAUCUUCCGCAAUGGGCGAAAGCCUGACGGAGCAACGCCGCGUGAGUGAUGAAGGUCUUCGGAUCGUAAAACUCUGUUAUUAGGGAAGAACAAAUGUGUAAGUAACUAUGCACGUCUUGACGGUACCUAAUCAGAAAGCCACGGCUAACUACGUGCCAGCAGCCGCGGUAAUACGUAGGUGGCAAGCGUUAUCCGGAAUUAUUGGGCGUAAAGCGCGCGUAGGCGGUUUUUUAAGUCUGAUGUGAAAGCCCACGGCUCAACCGUGGAGGGUCAUUGGAAACUGGAAAACUUGAGUGCAGAAGAGGAAAGUGGAAUUCCAUGUGUAGCGGUGAAAUGCGCAGAGAUAUGGAGGAACACCAGUGGCGAAGGCGACUUUCUGGUCUGUAACUGACGCUGAUGUGCGAAAGCGUGGGGAUCAAACAGGAUUAGAUACCCUGGUAGUCCACGCCGUAAACGAUGAGUGCUAAGUGUUAGGGGGUUUCCGCCCCUUAGUGCUGCAGCUAACGCAUUAAGCACUCCGCCUGGGGAGUACGACCGCAAGGUUGAAACUCAAAGGAAUUGACGGGGACCCGCACAAGCGGUGGAGCAUGUGGUUUAAUUCGAAGCAACGCGAAGAACCUUACCAAAUCUUGACAUCCUCUGACCCCUCUAAAGAUAAAGUUUUCCCCUUCGGGGGACAAAAUGACAGGUGGUGCAUGGUUGCCCCCACUCGUGCCCGGAAAGUUGGGUUAAUUCCCCAACGAGCGCACCCUUAACUUAAUUGCCACCUUAAGUGGGCCUCCAAUUGACGCCCGGAAACCCCGAAGAGGGGGGGAAGACCCAACCUCUCGCCCCUAAAUUUGGGCCACCCGUUCAAGGGAUAUAAAGGGGGAAACCCGGGGGGAAACCCCCCAAAGGGGUCCCU
rnacentral:rRNA from 1 species